GAUGAACGCUGGCGGCGUGCCUAAUACAUGCAAGUCGAGCGAACAGACGAGGAGCUUGCUCCUCUGACGUUAGCGGCGGACGGGUGAGUAACACGUGGAUAACCUACCUAUAAGACUGGGAUAACUUCGGGAAACCGGAGCUAAUACCGGAUAAUAUAUUGAACCGCAUGGUUCAAUAGUGAAAAACGGGUUUGCUGUCACUUAUAGAUGGAUCCGCGCCGCAUUAGCUAGUUGGUAAGGUAACGGCUUACCAAGGCAACGAUGCGUAGCCGACCUGAGAGGGUGAUCGGCCACACUGGAACUGAGACACGGUCCAGACUCCUACGGGAGGCAGCAGUAGGGAAUCUUCCGCAAUGGGCGAAAGCUUGACGGAGCAACGCCGCGUGAGUGAUGAAGGUCUUCGGAUCGUAAAACUCUGUUAUUAGGGAAGAACAAAUGUGUAAGUAACUAUGCACGUCUUGACGGUACCUAAUCAGAAAGCCACGGCUAACUACGUG
rnacentral:rRNA from 1 species